GAGGGAACCGUAACGAUCGUGUCUUGCUUCGAAGCACACUUCGUGUACGUUGAGUUGUUUCCAUUCUGUUAUCCCUGACUGAGUGGGUACUCCAUUAGCUGUGGAAAGAAUGACCAGAAAUAAGAUAUUAGCUAAGGAACAUUCAACUAAAAUACGCAGCCAGAGACGACGCUAAAAGUGACUUCGCUCAAAAUGAACACGUCUUGGAUCUAUCUGUUGGGUGUUCUGCUAUUUUUUGUUCCAAGUCUGAACGCUAAUAAUGCUGCCGGAGGUAGAGUUGGAGAUUGGACCAAGAUGUCCCUGAUGCCGGUGUGUUUCGAGGGCCGUAAUAAUCGUUAUGGACACUUCGUUAACAUGGGUGAAUCAAAAUUGGUUGCUGCCAUCAAGCUUGUCUACAAGUCAGGAAA